rnacentral:rRNA from 1 species
CAUAGCCGCGGUAAUACGAAGGGUGCAAGCGUUACUCGGAAUUACUGGGCGUAAAGCGUGCGUAGGUGGUGGUUUAAGUCCGUUGUGAAAGCCCUGGGCUCAACCUGGGAAUUGCAGUGGAUACUGGGUCACUAGAGUGUGGUAGAGGAUAGUGGAAUUUCCGGUGUAGCAGUGAAAUGCGUAGAGAUCGGAAGGAACAUCUGUGGCGAAGGCGGCUAUCUGGGCCAACACUGACACUGAGGCACGAAAGCGUGGGGAGCAAACAGGAUUAGAUACCCCGGUAGUCCCUGUCUCUUAUACA